GCGCAGGGGCUGGCGGCUGACUUACAAUGCAGAGUCCACGGCAGGGAGGGGGAGAGCCUGGUGGUCAGUGGCGAACGGGUGAGUAAUACAUCGGAACGUGUCCUGUAGUGGGGGAUAGCCCGGCGCAGGCCGGAUUAAUACCGCAUACGCUCUAUGGAGGAAAGGGGGGGAUCUUAGGACCUCCCGCUACAGGGGCGGCCGAUGGCAGAUUAGCUAGUUGGUGGGGUAAAGGCCUACCAAGGCGACGAUCUGUAGCUGGUCUGAGAGGACGACCAGCCACACUGGGACUGAGACACGGCCCAUACUCCUACGGGAGGCAGCAGUGGGGAAUUUUGGACAAUGGGGGCAACCCUGAUCCAGCAAUGCCGCGUGUGUGAAGAAGGCCUUCGGGUUGUAAAGCACUUUUGUCCGGAAAGAAAACGACUUCGUUAAUACACGUGGCGGAUGACGGUACCGGAAGAAUAAGCACCGGCUAACUACGUGCCAGCAGCCGCGGUAAUACGUAUGGUGCAAGCGUUAAUCUGAAUUACUGCGCGUAAAGCGUGCGCAGGCAGUCCGCUAAGACAGAUGUGAAUCCCCGGGCUUAACCUGCGAACUGCAUUGGUGACUGGCUGGGCUAUAGUAUGGCCGACGGGGGUAGAAGCCACUUGUAGCAUUGAAAUGCCUAGAGAUGUGCAAGAAUACCGAUAGCGAACGCAGUCCCUGGGCCAAUACUGACGCUCAUGCACU
rnacentral:rRNA from 1 species